rnacentral:rRNA from 1 species
UACGUAGGGGGCAAGCGUUGUCCGGAAUUACUGGGCGUAAAGGGCGCGUAGGCGGCCUUCUAAGUCAGACGUGAAAUCCCUCGGCUCAACCGGGGAACUGCGUCUGAGACUGGAAGGCUUGAAUCCGGGAGAGGGAUGUGGAAUUCCAGGUGUAGCGGUGAAAUGCGUAGAUAUCUGGAGGAACACCGGUGGCGAAGGCGGCAUCCUGGACCGGUAUUGACGCUGAGGCGCGAAAGCCAGGGGAGCAAACGGG